AAUAUUGCGCAAUGGAGGGAACUCUGACGCAGCGACGCCGCGUGAUCGAUGAAGGUCUUCGGAUCGUAAAGCUCUGUCCUUGGGGCAGAAGGUCUUCGGACUUGACGGUACCUACGGAGGCAGCCCCGGCUAACUACGUGUCAGCAGCCGCGGUAAUACGUAGGUUGCAAGCGUUGUCCGGAUUUAUUGGGCGUAAAGCGCGCGCAGGCGGCCUUUUAAGUCUGAUGUGAAAUCUUACAGCUUAACUGUAAGCGGUCAUUGGAAACUGGGAGACUUGAGUGCAGAAGAGGAGAGUGGAAUUCCAUGUGUAGCGGUGAAAUGCGUAGAGAUAUGGAGGAACACCAGUGGCGAAGGCGACUCUCUGGUCUGUAACUGACGCUGAGGCGCGAAAGCGUGGGGAUCAAACA
rnacentral:rRNA from 1 species